rnacentral:misc_RNA from 1 species
GAUAUGGUAGUAUAUGAUCUGCUCCGGUGCACCGGGCUCACUUAGCUGGUCUGUCGUUAGCUUGGCCAUGGCUUCGUCGUUUGGUGCCAAGACGGUGAGCACGUACCCUUCUGAAACCAAACGCCCCAUUUCGGUGGCUAGUGAGGUUAAGUUCACUAAGAUAUCUGCCAUUUCGUUAUACCCACCGUAAUGUAAUAGUGUCUUGAUGAAGUCCUUAACCUGGCUCUCACCGUCGAAGUGAUGGUGAGGCCCACCGGGACCUGGAGCUGGCGCCGGAGCCAGGGAAGGACCUGGAGCCAAGGCGUCGUAAAUGGGUAACACUGGUGGUGCCCCCGCCGGAACAGGUGCUGCUGGUUUCUUCAACCGGUGGGUUCUGGGAUCCACCUCCGGUGCGCCCUCUGGUAGCACUGCAGAUAUGGAUCUGAGAUUCCUCCUCCGGUUAAAGUCUUCUUGUACAGAUUGCGGGAUUAGAAGUCGCUCGAUCCCGUGGAUAACACCGUCGGG